rnacentral:misc_RNA from 1 species
UCUCCGUUGGUGAACCUGCGGAGGGAUCAUUACCGAGCUCACACCUUACCAGGUAGUGCUACCACACUAUGUUAUUCUUCCUUUGUUGAUUUCGCUGGCCGCCUAUUACUAGGCUCCCGCCUUCGGCUGCUAAACGCCUGCUCUAUAACCACCAUCUGUGAAUAUUUUUGUCGUCUUCAUAAUAUAUAAUAAUUAAACCUUUCAACAUCGGAUCUCUUAGUUCUGGAACAGAUGAAGAAAGCAGCAGUUCGGACGACAACACGACUGAACUCCCGUCAC